GCGUGCCACCACACCUGGCUAAUUUUUUGUAUUUUUAGUAGAGAUGGGGUUUCGUUAUGUUAGCUAGGAUGGUCUCGAAAUCCUGACCUCGUAAUUCGCCCGCCUAGGCCUCCCAAAGUGCUGGGAUUAUAGGCGUGAGCUAUGGCGCCCGGCCAAAGCGUCCUUUUUAUAUAGCCUGGCAGAUACAAUCCAUUGCAUACACGCUCUCAAGAUAAAUAGUAACUCAUCCUCAUGCAAAAGGACUUGCUAUGCAGUUUUUUUUGUUUUGUUUUUUUUGAGACAGGGUCUCAUUCUGUCAUCCAGGCUGGAGUGUAGUGGUGUGAUCUUCUUGGCUCACUGUAACCUCCACCUCCUGGGUUCAAGUGAUUCUCGUGCCUAAGCCUCCCAAGUAGCUGGAAUUACAGACGUGCCAUCAUGCCCAGCUAAUAUUUGUAUUUUAGUAGAGACAGAGUUUCGCCAUACUGGCCAGGCUGGACUCAAACUUCUUCUUUCGAUUUCUGUGUGGCUUCAAGUGAUCCGCCUGUCUCUGCCUCCCCCAGAGUGCUGGGAUUACAGGUGUGAGCCACCAGGCCUGGCCUGCUAUGCAUUCUUAAACACUCAUCCUAAAUUCACCUGGAAAUCAACGUGGCCAUCCAUGCUAGUUAAUUACCUGUAUCCAAUGAAAAAAUAAAACUUCUCACAUCUCCUUGACAAGCAGGUAGUAACAGCUCAAGGUGCCUAGGCUAAAUUCCCUAGGCAACAGGAAGAUAGGGACACUAUUUUCCUCCAGGUUUAAGUGAUUCU
rnacentral:lncRNA from 1 species